rnacentral:rRNA from 1 species
GACGAACGCUGGCGGCGGGCUUAACACAUGCCAGUCGAACGGCAAGGCCCUGCUUUUGUGCGGUGCUGGAGUGGCGAAGGGGUGCGUGACAGGAGAGUAACGUGCCCUUGUCUUUGGGAUAACUUCAGGAAACUGGGCCUAAUCCAGGAUAGCAGAUCCCGCAGCAGGGAGGGGGUUGGAAAGUUUAGGCGGUUGGGGAUGGACUCGCGGCUUAUCAGCUUGUUGGUGGGGUAGUGGUUUACCCAGGCAUGGACUGGUAGCCGACCUGUGAGCGUGGCCGGGCACACUGCGACUACGGUACGGCCCAGUCGGCAACGUUAGGCAACAGUGGGGAAUAUGGCACAGUGAGCCGAAGUCUGAUGCGACGACGCCGCGUUCGGGAUGACGGCCUUCGGGGUGUGAACCGCAUUCGCCUGUUACGAAGCGUGAGUGACGGUAAUGGAUAAAGAAGCACCGGCUAACUUCGUG